AUGGCUAUAUAAAAUUCAUUGAAUAAUCCCCGUUAAGUUAAAUAGAACUUUUCGGUUUCAUAUCAUUGAAACAUUU
rnacentral:snoRNA from 14 species